UUUUCUUGGUUCCAGCUUAUUGAAAAGAAACUCUGUGGCCGCCUCCGGCAGAUAAGGUGAGAGCGAGGGAGCGCGUGGCGCGUGCAGGCGAACGUUCCUCCCUCGUUCCUUUAGGCGGAACGUACAGUAAUUCAUUCUUUUAAAAAAAAAUGCCACGUGGCUGGCGGCGGCGGCGUUGUCCUCUUUUCCACCCAUCUCGUGCUCUAGUUCUCCAGGAGUUAAUAAACUUCUGUAAAGUCCUUCGGUUCUCCCCAUUUUCCAGGAGAGGAAACGAACGGAGCCAUCCGUCUGUUGAAGAAGGUGGCUCCUCUGGUGAUAAAUCUAAGCCGGAUCCCAACUUUUUAAAAAAAAGGGAAAAGAAGAUGCAUUUCCCUCUUUACAAACUUUCUGUUCUGAAGUUUGGGGGGAAAGUUUUCCAAAGGUGUGCAGAACGGCCACAGGAAAUCUAAUGCAGCUGAAUGCAGACAUUUGCGGGAUGUGUGAACCGUGUAAAAAAUAGUGACUCUCUUUCCCCCCACCCCAAAGUUGUGGUGCAAAUGAAGAGCCUUGGAUCCCGCCCGGAGUGUCUUGCACGGAUCCAGUUCCCAGGGUGGUGGUGGAGGAGGAGGAGCACUGCCACGCCCGUGGUCCUUGCCAAGGAAGGGCACCGUCCUGCUUUUCCCCGACCCGCACGGGCAGGCGGGCAGAUGGCGCUGAGGAGAUGCAGGCCAACCAGACUAUUAAAAGCUCCUUGCCUUUAACUUGAGGCGGCGGCGGCGGCUGCUGCUGCUGAUCAUCAUCCUCACUGCUGCUCUCCCCCACCCCGCCGCCUCACUCUCCAUCCCGCCCUGUCUUUGUCCUUCCUUCAGUGGCGGCUGCUCUCCUCUCGAGCGAGCGAGCGCUCCUGGACCUGGAAUUUGUCCUUCCUUCAGUGGCGGCUGCUCUCUCCUCUCAAGCGAGCGAGCGCUUCAGGACCUGGAAGAGGAAGCAGGCGGGGGAGACGGGAGACGAAGCAGUGCUGCUCACCUGGACCCCCCCCCGCACCUGGAGGCAGGCACCAGACACCCCCCCAGUGCUUAGCCCGGAUGGUGCCCCCGCCGGGCUCCCUGGCUGGCCCCGGCAUGGGGGGCCACCCCCUCGCUCUGCCUUGGCUCGGAUGAGGCGCCUGCUUCCCGUGGCCGAACUCCGCCGCACUGCGAUGCUGCGGUGGUUCUCUUUGUGGUCCAGCCUUCCUCCUCUUCGCCCUCAACCUUGAGCCAAAACGAAGCCGGAGCAGCUGCAAUGCCUGAGCCCGGGGCAGGACCGGCUCCCGCGGGAUCCCAGGAGGGCGAACGG
rnacentral:lncRNA from 1 species